AGAUUUGGCUGUCCUGUACCAAACAUAUUUUUGCAGUCUUUUCCCGCUUCAGGUUUGAGUAAACUUUCUGAGUAGUUUCAUAUUUUGUUCCAACAGACCGAUUUGAGGUUUAUGGAGCUUCGUAGAUGACAUCAGGACUGUCGUGUAUACAUGCUUUGGAGAUGUGUGCUUUUUGAGCUGUGAAACAUGACUACUAUAUAGUGGAGUUAUACGGGCAUGAGAUAUCUUUCAAAUGGAAAACCUCAGAAAAUGGAAACGUACAUCAACACAUAUUUCAAUCCGCUAUCCUAAUGGAGUUUAUAGAAGGAUGAUCUUCUUCUUUUUUUUGAUCAAUAGAAUGAGGAUCUCUAAAGGUAUCUUCUUUCUUUGAAAUUUUAAGUCUAUAUAUAUAAGCCCCUCCAACUUUAUCGUAGCAAAAAGUGAUGAAUAUGAUUAGGAAAAUAUGAUUAGGUGAGAUCAACACGGGAACCAUGUGUUUGAUUUGAUCAAAAGGUAAACAGUGUGUUACAUCAGGUAAAGAAUAAGAUUACUGGGUUCGGUGGAGAUAGUUGGAAUUAUCCAAAUUUGUAACUUUCGGUGACGAACAGACAAGUGGUGACUAAGCUAAUGGUUUGUGUUUCCUUUACGUACUUGGAACAUCCAAUAUAACCUGUUGUUUCCAUCAUAUAGAUUAGUUAGCUAGCAAAGGACUCUAAACUGAUGCGUUUUGGAAUAUAUGAUGUUUUUGGUCGACAUAUAUUUCUGACUUUACAAAUCAAACACAAGAAACACACGUUAAUCGUCCGAAUCAGACCCACAAUGUCCAGGAAUAUUUUAAAAAUGGUUACUUAAUUAUCUACUAAAUUCAUAACAAUAUGAAUUCAAUCGGAUUUUCGUUUCCAUGUUCAAUCUCGAUUAGCAACACUUACAAACCACCAUCAAAAUGUGAAGGGCAUUGGGUUUUGAAAUUAGGAUUUAAAAUUUUAUAAAAUAAAAAAUAAAUAUUAAAAAUUAAAAAAAAAACAGGACAACAAGAUUCAAUUUAAGACGACUGACCCUUGUUUAUAUAAUUUAUUAUAUAUAAUUUCUUAAUAAUUUGAUUGGACAUAUUACUUCCGCUAGUCUUUUUCAGCAUCGCCUGUAGAUAGAAAUACUCAAUUAUUGUAGCUGUUGAACCAGUGUCGUUCUCACUGAAUAAGAAUGGUGGUCAUUACAAAAUUUGCUCCACGAUGAUUUUUUUUUUUUUUUUUUGCUAAACUGUAAAUAUCAUAUAGAUGAAUAAAAGAUUUUACAAGAGAUGAUCUUAGUUUUUGAACCCUCUUGGCAAAAAAUAACAAAAAACAAGAUGGAGCACUGAAAAUUAUACCUUACUAGAAACUAUCUCAACCACAUCACCAUGAGGGCCUUGUAGCUCUUUCAAACUCUCCUCGCAGAAAUGAUGUUUCUUAGCUCUUUGUCAAUACCGUAGAACACUUUAGAAGUCGGUAUACUUGACUGAUUAUGCACUAAAUUGUUCCUUUGCUUCCACAGAUGAGAAAUGACAGUCUGCACUCUACGAUGACUUCGAUAUUUUGUUUUCGUUUGUGCUUAUUUUAGCGUUUGCAACUAAGUUAAUGAAACAACCAUUUUUACAGCUUUAAUUGAAAUUAUUUUAUACGUUGUCGCGACAGUCAAAAAACUUUCCUUGCGUCCGGUCUUUUUUCCUCUAUAUCUUUUGUAAGAAAAAUAUAUAUUAUAAGUAACUGAAAUCACAUCUUUAAGAAAAUUAAGCACAAUCUUGCAAAAUCAACAUGUUCCAUGCUUUUAUUUACGUCUCAUAUAUAUAUGCUCCAGCUUUUACAUUCUUUGACCAAAAGAAAAUAAAUUAGGGAAAAAGGAGAAACACAAUGAUCCAAGUGGGCGUGCAUGCAACAUUUGCCCAUAAUAAGACUGUUACGUGUACCCUGAAAGUCAAAAGUUAGGUUAUGGAGGAGAAUAGGUAUCUUAACAUUAUAUUCGACUUCGUUUGCUAACUUUAAUUGACUUCGCCGACAUAUGGUAUAUACAUAUGUAUAUCUCAUAUUAUAUAAUAUGGCCCCUGUAAAAUUCCAUAUCUUCUGUUAAGCAGAUAAAUAAUAUAUAUAUGCAUUGCAUUAAUAAUAAUAACAAAAAGAGUUUAUAUAAAACCAUUAUAAAAAUCGAUUUGAACCUACUUAGUUACUCUUUUGCCUAACAUCAGUUUGUCACCAACUAAGAUGCGCCUUUGCUGUUGUUUUAUUAUAUCGUUUACCCGUCUUCACUGUUUAGUAUUUUGUUAAAAUUUGUUUAUUAAUAAAAAAUAAAUCAUGGUUCUUCUUUGUUUUAAUUGUUUGUAGGUUUGCGAUUGGAGAGCAACUACGAUUUAUGAUUUAGUAGCUUAGGUCAUAUGUAGCUCUCGUUUGAUUAAUUUUGAAGUUAUGUCAUUACUCAUAUAUAUAUGUACCCAUAAAUGAGCUCGUGAAUUAUGUAUUAUUGCUUGUUUCACGUAUAUUUUGUCGCUUUCACAAGAAUUAAAACAUAAAGCGUGUCACAUUUCAUGCCAACUAAGCAUUGCAUGGCUUUGGUAUCAUCACAAUAUCACAUAUUUUAGCCGCCUUAUAAUGGUUUUUAGCCCUACGAAUCACACUGGCAAUUACAUAUACCUAUCCACACGCACGCUCAUCACACCAAAAACACAUUGAUUGUUAUUACUUGAUGACAAACAUUUAGCUUUCAAAUACGUCGAAUCUAAGUUGUAUUGGUUCAUAUCCAUAUCACUCUGUUAGUCUAUUGGAUGUAAAUUAAAUCAAAGACAGACAGUCCAAAAAUAAUGGAAGUUUGGUGUAAGUACUUUAUUAUCAUAACUAAAGUAUUUGAAAAUAAUGAUUUCUCUGAAAGAUAAUGUGGACUAAAUUAGUCUGGCCCGAAAAUUUUAUUAUCAUAAGAAUAUAUCUAAACACGUUGAUAAGAAAAUAAUAUUAUAGUGAAUUGGCUUUUCUUUACAAAAAUAAGCAAUAUUUCGAAUGGUUUUUGGUUCUACAGAGAGUAACCGAGUCUAGUCUGGAAGGGACAACGCAGUUCUUGGUUCGAAUGGUUUUUCAAGCAAUAGUAUACAUAAAAUGGAAGAAAAUAUGGUCAAUCAUCACAUGAGCCGACUCUCCUGAUUGAUUAUGUCGACAAGCACAUACGGAACCGCAUCGAUUCAGUAAGGGCAGAAUUGGGGCUAGACAUCCUCAUGCCACGAGAACAUGGUUUGCUUCACGAUAGAUACUUGGAAGAAGUUUUAGUGGUUGUGAGUUGUUUCCUCAUAAAACCAAUUCCGCAAGUUCUAAAAAAGCAAUAUUUCUAAUAUGUUAGUAAACAAAAACCUAUUUAUCAAAUUGAAAUAAAUUAUUAAAAUUUAGUUCUCUUUAUAAACACUGGCAGAAUUCUGUAGAUACAGUUUUAACCCAGAUAAUUGAGUAGUUACAUAGGUGAAAAAAUAUUAAAAUUUGUUAAGACAAAACAGUAGCUGCAACUAUUUUAAUGCGAAGGCAGAGAGCUAAAGUAAGAGUAAGUUGAGAUUCAUUUACCAAUCUUGUUCCGAUCACCCAAGAGAGUAGUUUCUGAGAUCUGACAGUUUCUGAGAUCUGACAAUGUGACGUUAAAUAUAUUUUCAGGUUUUAAUAAACAUACCUACAUGGCGCUAUUGGCUACAUGAAGGAUCCGCAAGACUCAACUUCCUCGUAUGUCGUGCCUCGACGGUAGUAAAUCCAAUGGUUCUGUUUUACAAUGUGUCUAUUAAAUACUCGACGUUAACGUUAGUAUUAAUACUUAUCAACUUUCUUGGUCUAUAAUUUCGCUUGAUAAUAGUAGUUGUGACUUGGAACAACUGUGCUGCAUAAAUUAUUGAGAUAACAUCAAUCACAUAUAUCGAGUAUAAAUUUUCUUGAAAUAUUUUCUGGUUAGUUUUAGAUUGAUCAAUGAAUUAAGAAAAUUAUGUAUAUAAAAACUUGCAACAUUCUCUAAUUUAGAGAAAUAAGUUGGUAAAAGCUUUAUAAAAAAGGCUAAUGGCGAAAUAUAGAGAGUUUGUAAAAAGAAAAAGAAGAAGCUAACGAAAACAAGAAAAGUGGACCACGCAGAUAUGAGGCAAUAAUUGAUGCAGGAAAGAGCGUGGUUCGUACGCCUUACCUACUAACUAUUCAAACACUUUUGUAUAUUUCCUUACAUACAUCAGAUUAUAUAUUAAUACAUGUUGAUGUUCAACAUUAUACACAAUCCAAUACUGAUGCACGUAUGGAUUGAGGUCCCUACACUUUUACAGAAACAAAUGCUCUCUAGUGUCUUCACCAUUAUGGGUUUCCUCAAAACAAUAGAUUUUGAAAAUAGUUGGAGGCAACUUUUGAAUAGCAUGGGUUGGUGUAGUUAGUGCCUGGUCGGUUUAAUGUUGCAAUUUUAAACUUUUGAAUAGCAUAUGGGUUAGUGUAGUUAGUGUGUAUGGUCGGAGUAAAGUUUAACUCUUGGUCGGUUGAAGAUUUACAAAUUCUAAUAAGAAUACCAACCCUUAUAAUCUUAUAUAAUAAAGUUGAGUUGUCUCUCUCCUUAGGCUAUCCACAUCAUCAACUACAUAGGGGCAAUUCAAGACACGUGUCAUACUAUAAUUCUCAGAUUUCGCUUCCUGUUAGCGUCUUGCAAAGUGGGUUUUCAUGUUUGCAGAGGCCCAAUAGGUAAUUAAGGUAUUGUGAUAGAUUCAGAAUAGGUCCAAAUGCCCCGUAACGCAACUCCUUCUACGUUCCAAUCCGACGAUUCAAAGUUCCCAGCCACCGCAACCUGUUCGUAACCGUCGACGUUAAACUUUGCAAUCACUACAAGCUUUCAACGACUUCUUAAUCAUUCUGCAUAUAAUAUAUAUAUGGACUAGAAGGCAUGAAUCCACGUAUCUCAUCGUUUCUCAGUUUUCUCCUCUCCAAAACUCUCUCUAAGGGCGAGUUUGACUAUGGCGAUUCUUUAACUGAUUCUGUCUGAUUUGAAGGCUGGUCUUGUCAGCAGGCUCCUUUGUUGUUGGGAAGGAAUAAGGUCGAGAGCUUAUUGGAAUUGGAAAGGUAAUUUUUGUCAACUGAAUAUUUUAGAUCUUAAAAUUAUUGGGAAAUGUUGUGUUGUUAAUGGUUCAAACAACUGAAGUUCAAUUUCGUUGCGGAAGUGGGUGUGGAUAAAAGCGAUUUCAAAGAAUUUCUCUACCGAGUAAGAGCUCCGCGGUGAAGUUGGUCGUGUCCAUUUUGGAUACACUUGUGUUGCUAAUUACACUUUCGCAUAUUUAGUGUUUUCAAUGGAUCAAUCCUAGAUUUUAGGAAUUGAUUUAUGGGGGAUGAUGAGUACUUUUAUAUAGAUCUCCCUUGGCUAUAAUUUGGAAGUGCUCUGAUUUUUGAGCAACGUUUUGGGUUUUUGAUUUUUAAAAUCGUAGAAUCCAGUGGUCAAGUUUGUAGGAGUGGUAAACGCGAAAGAAAAAGUUAUAGCAGAAACGAUGCAUCAACUCUCCCUGGAGAUCAAUGGGGUUAAUAAGAAGAAAUUUUAUAAAGCAAAAAUGUGGGUGAGCCAAUGUUGAACUUCAAGGAGUUGCAGGAGUUCAAGCCUGUCGGUAAUGAUGCCCCUACCACUACUACAAACUUGACUGAAAAUAAGGUAUGACAACAAACUACUGUAUAUAGAUUAAUAGAAAACUUUGAUCAUGAAAAUUUGUUCUUUUAGGACAGAUGAGCAUGAAUCUAGAUGGAGAACUUCCAUGAGAUGAUCCACUACAUUACUUUGCUGUUCAUGCUGUCAAGAGCAUCCAAAACAGAUCUAACUCUUUGCUACUUUAUGAACUUCAAUAGGGUGUGCAUGCAACCCUGAGGUAUGCCUACAUGAACAAAUUAACGAUUCUGAAUUGCAAGAAUGUAUGGUAGAUUUGGCUGUCCUGUACCAAACAUAUUUUUGCAGUCUUUUCCCGCUUCAGGUUUGAGUAAACUUUCUGAGUAGUUUCAUAUUUUGUUCCAACAGACCGAUUUGAGGUUUAUGGAGCUUCGUAGAUGACAUCAGGACUGUCGUGUAUACAUGCUUUGGAGAUGUGUGCUUUUUGAGCUGUGAAACAUGACUACUAUAUAGUGGAGUUAUACGGGCAUGAGAUAUCUUUCAAAUGGAAAACCUCAGAAAAUGGAAACGUACAUCAACACAUAUUUCAAUCCGCUAUCCUAAUGG
rnacentral:lncRNA from 1 species